rnacentral:rRNA from 1 species
AUACGAAGGUGGCAAGCGUUGUUCGGAAUCACUGGGCUUAAAGGGCGCGUAGGCGGAUCAGAAAGUGUCUUGUGAAAUACCCCGGCUUAACCGGGGAAUGGCUCGGCAAACUACUGGUCUUGAGGCAAGUAGGGGUGCGUGGAACUCUUGGUGGAGCGGUGGAAUGCGUAGAUAUCAAGAGGAACGCCGAAGGUGAAGACAGCACACUGGACUUGCCCUGACGCUGAGGCGCGAAAGCGUGGGGAGCAAACAGGAUUAGAUACCCUGGUAGUCCACGCCGUAGACGAUGCCUACUAGGUUGUGGGGGUUCUGACACUUCCACAGUCGUAGCAAAAGUGUUAAGUAGGCCGCCUGGGGAGUACGGUCGCAAGGCUAAA